rnacentral:rRNA from 1 species
AUGGGGUGCAGCAGGCGCGGAACCUCCGCAAUACACGAAAGUGUGACGGGGUUACCCAAAGUGUUCAAUUUUGAACUGUGGUAGGUGAGUAAUGUCCCCUACUAGAAAGGAGAGGGCAAGGCUGGUGCCAGCCGCCGCGGUAAAACCAGCUCUUCAAGUGGUCGGGAUAAUUAUUGGGCUUAAAGUGUCCGUAGCCGGUUUAGUAAGUUCCCGGUAAAAUCGGGUAGCUUAACUAUCUGCAUGCUAGGAAUACUGCUAUACUAGAGGGCGGGAGAGGUCUGAGGUACUACAGGGGUAGGGGUGAAAUCUUAUAAUCCUUGUAGGACCACCAGUGGCGAAGGCGUCAGACUGGAACGUGCCUGACGGUGAGGGACGAAAGCCAGGGGAGCGAACCGGAUUAGAUACCCGGGUAGUCCUGGCCGUAAACGAUGCAUACUAGGUGAUGGCAUGGCCAUGAGCCGUGUCAGUGCCGUAGGGAAACCGUUAAGUGUGCCGCCUGGGGAGUACGGUCGCAAGGCUAAAACUUAAAGGAAUUGGCGGGGGAGCAC